UACGGGGGGGGCAAGCGUUGCUCGGAAUUACUGGGCGUAAAGGGCUCGUAGGCGGCCAACUAAGUCAGACGUGAAAUCCCUCAGCUUAACUGGGGAACUGCGUCUGAUACUGGAUGGCUUGGAUUUGGGAGAGGGAUGCGGAAUUCCAGGUGUAGCGGUGAAAUGCGUAGAUAUCUGGAGGAACACCGGUGGCGAAGGCGGCAUCCUGGACCAAUAUUGACGCUGAGGAGCGAAAGCCAGGGGAGCAAACGGG
rnacentral:rRNA from 1 species